GACGGAGGGUGCAAACGUUGUUCGGAAUUACUGGGCGUAAAGCGCGUGUAGGCUGUCUCGCAAGUCGGGUGUGAAAGCCCUGGGCUCAACCUAGGAAGUGCACUCGAAACUGCGAGACUUGAGUCCUGGAGAGGAAGGCGGAAUUCUCGGUGUAGAGGUGAAAUUCGUAGAUAUCGAGAGGAACACCGGUGGCGAAGGCGGCCUUCUGGACAGUGACUGACGCUGAGACGCGAAAGCGUGGGGAGCAAACAGG
rnacentral:rRNA from 1 species